ensembl:snRNA U6 U6 spliceosomal RNA
GUGCUUGCUUUGGCAGCACAUAUUCUAAAAUUGAAACGAUACAGAGAAGUAAUGUGUGGCCCAUGCAAGGAUGACACACAAGUUCGUGAAGUGUUCCUUUUUUUU